rnacentral:tRNA from 1 species
GGAGAGGUGGCCGAGCGGCUGAAGGCGGCAGGUUGCUAACCUGUUAUAGGGGUUAUACUCCUAUCCGGGGUUCGAAUCCCCGCCUCUCCGCAA